rnacentral:rRNA from 1 species
GAUGAACGCUGGCUACAGGCUUAACACAUGCAAGUCGAGGGGAAACGACGGGGAAGCUUGCUUCCCCGGGCGUCGACCGGCGCACGGGUGAGUAACGCGUAUCCAACCUGCCUCUGACUGAGGGAUAACCCGUCGAAAGUCGGCCUAAUACCUCAUGGCAUCGUCUGCGGGCAUCCAACGACGAUUAAAGAUUUCAUCGGUCAGGGAUGGGGAUGCGUCUGAUUAGCUUGUUGGCGGGGGAACGGCCCACCAAGGCUACGAUCAGUAGGGGUUCUGAGAGGAAGGUCCCCCACAUUGGAACUGAGACACGGUCCAAUCUCCUACGGGAGGCAGCAGUGAGGAAUAUUGGUCAAUGGGCGGGAGCCUGAACCAGCCAAGUAGCGUGCAGGAUGACGGCCCUAUGGGUUGUAAACUGCUUUUAUGCGGGGAUAAAGUGAGGGACGUGUCCUUCAUUGCAGGUACCGCAUGAAUAAGGACCGGCUAAUUCCGUG